UAUAUAGUUUCCAAAUUCAAUUCCUUGUUUGAGAAUUCUGAAAUGUUCGCUUAUUUCGUGUUUGCCAAGCAGGAAAUUAUAGUGAUCUGACCGUCUCAACUCUCAACAAAAUCAAGGGCAUGGAAACAAAGGGUUUUGCAAUUCAGGUAAUUUCUAUAUAAUUUUUUUUUUUCAUUCACUUUUAUGCAUCACUGAUAAUAUUAGGAAUCAGUAAACCAUCAAAUUAUUCUCCAACUUUGUUAGGAAUCUAGUUAUUUUAAAAAGGUCCAGACUAAGCCAUUAGGUUUGGUCUAGUGGUGAGGAGUUUGAAUAAUACGCUAUAGGUCCUGGGUUCGGUACACAGCUCAUUGUAAACCAAUAAAAAAGAAGUCCAGACUCAGUCAAAUUUUACUCAUAUUUAGGGACUAAAUUAAUAGUAAAUAUAGUUAGGGACCAAAUUAUUAAAAUAUAGGGAAUUAAUUGAUAGUAAGUGGUUAAAUAUCGAGACCAACUUGACGGUUUAAUAGAGUCAGAGACCUUUUAAAAAAAAUCAUAAAUUCAAGGAUCUAUUUGAGAGCGCCUUACAAAGUCAGAACCAAUUUGGUGGUUCACUCAUCAGAAAAUAUAGGAGGAAAGUGAGGAGAAACUAUAGCUUUGGAAGUAAGAGUAAAACUCAAAAGAAAUAAUUAUUGAAAUUGAUACUGAAAUGAGUGAAGUGUGCUCUAUUUAUAGUAUAGCUUAUUAGAGUAGUACUAACUAGCUGUUUAACUAAAUCAUUAAGAAGCUCUAACAUUGUUAUUUAAUAUUUACACUCCUAACAAUAACAAAGGAAUAAACUGCUAAAUGCUAAUAGAGUAGGUUGUGGUUCGGUUAGAGUUGGUUAGAGUAGACCGUCUAAAAGUACAACUGUAUCGACGAUAAUAUGAUACCAUUUAAGUUGAAUUCUCUCGAAGCUUCUGUCUCUUUCCCGAUUACACUUGUUUGGCUCGGUUCGGUUUUUAAAACAUUGACCGAGAGCUAAUACAAUAUUUAUGUAAUCAUUUUAAUUUAAACAUAGGGAAAGAAUGGGAAAGAUUAGCAGCCCAUGACAUCAAGCCUAAUAUCAAGAGAGAUACGAUCUCCGCCAUACAUUUUUCAGAUAGCAGCCUUUGCUUCCUUUGGCGAACCAGAAUGCUUGUCUUCCUAAAAUCAAACUCGCCCUAUGAUUUUAAAUAGUGGUCACAGUAACAGUUGUGAUUGCGUCGCGAUCUUUAAUAUUGUAGAAAAU
rnacentral:lncRNA from 1 species